rnacentral:sRNA from 1 species
GUGUAUGCGUGAGGGAUUGCAAUGGAAAUCCUUUUUGUUUUUUCUUUAAAAACAAAAAGAUUGGAAUGAAAAGCCCGACCCUAA